AUGGGAAACUUUUGCUGCCCACAUGGAAAGAGAAGAGAUGACAACAACAUAAACAAGCACAAUAAUGGAUUUCAAAACACCAAUGCCUCAAAAGCUAGCGCCGAAAAAUUCAGAAGUGAUGGUGGUGCCAAAGAUGGUAACAUGGUUUUUAUGACUGCAGCUAUAGCAAGUACUCCUGUUGACACAACUUCAGCUGGGAAUCAUGGUCAUCAUGGAGGGGACGGUGGUGGACAUGGUGAUGGAGGACACGGAGGAGGAUGCGGUGGUGGCGGAGGGUGUGGAGGAGGCGGCUGUGGUGGCUGA